rnacentral:lncRNA from 1 species
UCCCCUUUUCUCUCUAAAAAGAAAGAACCAUCCCCUACUCUCGUACGAUCCCCACCAGGUUCCUGAGUCCUCAUCCUCGUUUGCCAUUUCUUCCGAUUUGCCGCCGGCAAAGGAAGAUGUCACCAUUGGCCAUCAGGAAAUUAAUACCCAGGUUAUCCCAGAUCUACACGCCGUUUCUUUUCUCUGAGUUUUGCUUCCAUAGGGUGGUGGCGCAUGUGGCUGGGUGAGUGCAGGGAUCUCGGCAACCUCGUCGAGUCUGGAGAAAUGGCCACAGAGAUUGCCAAGGAGAAUUUGGGUUGUGCUGCUUAUACUUGCCAUCGCCGGGUGCUUUGGAUGUUGGUGGCGCGGAGGUAGCUAGGGAGCUCACGGAGCAGGGAUGUGAAGCAGCUUCUGCGGGCAGCUUCUUACUUGUUGUCCUGUUCAUUGUUGGUGUUGUCUGGAGUCCUACCAAAUGUAAGUGUUACUGCAAUCAUAUAAGUUUUGGUGAAGGGGAAUGAUCUAGAAAUCAAAAUAAGUUGAUCUCAACCUAGCAAGCGAUUCUUCCAUCUAAUUAGUGAUGCACAGUAAAAAAGGAGGUUUACAUGCACUUUUACUCAGCCAAAUAGCAAAAGCAUCAGCUUGAUGUGAGACAUGCAUGUGCCUAGUUGCAGUUUAAGUUCUAAAGUUCAGUAAUUUUCGUGGGGCUAGUCUUCUUUCUGGAUUCUUGCAUCUUAAUUACCACACAGAGGCAAUGGUAUAUGGUGAACACAUGGAUGCAAGGCAUCUGAAGUAUACACACCCAUUGUUUUGAAUCUUGCUUCUUGAAUCUUGUUGUCUAAUGGUAGAGUUUUGAGGCCUGAAUUAAGGUUCCUGCCACUUUUAUAAAUGUUGCAGGGCAGUACAUUUAUGGUUUCUGUACACCUUUUUUCUUUCUGGAUUCGGCAACCUUUUGUGCCCAUAGGAACCAAUAUUGCUGUAUAAUUGUAUAUUAUGUCUUCCCGUUCAUCCAUGGCUCUCCACUAUAAAGUGUUCUAUUCUUUUAUUUGUUGUUACCAUGUCCUAGCAAGAAGGCCUUAAUUUGGUUCAUAUAUGUUAAUUGACAUGCAAUGGUUUGAUUUUUAUAUGUGUUGGUGGUGCAGAUGAUAUUGAAGAUCUAUUAAUGGUUUUAUUAAACUAAAAAGGUUGUAUGAGG